AAAAAGGGUCUCUGCCGUGACUGACAUAGCUGUGGGAAGGGACUUUCUGACACAGUUAUGGAAUCAUUAUCAAGAGAUUUCGGAUGCUCAAUUUUGUAACUUUAGGCUACAAUUGAUCGAUGUUCUUGGUGCCUUG